CUGAAGAAGGCAGGGGCUCUAAGCAGCAGCCUUCUCCUCCCUUCUCUCCUCAAAACUCCUACUCCUCCUUGCUGCUCUUCUUUUGUCUCCUCAGACACAAUAAACCCAAGUCAAAUGUGAGGAGGAAGGCAAGAACAAGCAAGAGAGGAACUAGACAUCUGGCUAAACUUUGACUGCAAAGGCAGGGCUGAGUUUGAAAGGAAAUGAAGAAAAAUCCUGACUAAUAGUUGAGAGAAAAAUAUUUGCUAAAUUUAGAGCAGUUUACCCUUGUAGGCUUUGAAUUUUACAGCAUUUUAAAAGCAAAGCACAAUCUAGUCUGAGAGAAAAAGACUUGAAGCAUCAAUUAGAGCUGGUCAAAAAGUGUUUUGAUGAGGCCAAGCUUUCCCAAGGACUCAGGAACUAUUCUUUGGCAUACAGCCUAUAAGCUCUAAAAUGAGAGGCAUUGUACAGUGGGGACAUUUGAAAAGUGUGAUUUUCACCAAAUGUACCAAAACACAGCUGCUUUCUAACUCUAUUGGCAAAAUGUCUUGAUCUACAGUGGAGGGUCAGAGAUGACUCAAAACCUGUCCUUUCAGUUGAAGACAAAGAAAGAUCCUGAAAGGCUGUUAUAUCAAACUUAAGUGCUUUGGGUCUGUGUCAUUACUGGUUUCAUUCUCCCCCAUUAGAGAAAGAAAAGUGUUGAUCCACCAUGAAGGGAAUGAAGAGGAAGAAUCCCAGAUGAAGAAUUUGGAGCCACUCCACAAGAUGAAUGUCAAUUUGUGUAUUAAUGGAAACUUGUGCUGGAGUGGUUCAAAUGGCCUUGCAUAAGGCUCAAGGAAAGAGGAAAUAGCGAGUGAAGAGGAAUGAGGCUUCACUACAGCAUAUACAAAGAACAGGAAAUUCUUGUAAGAAGCCAAAAGGAAAUGAUGGAAUUUUCUGUCACUGUGAUGAUGGGAGGAAUAUUUCUAUAAGGAAAAAUACAGAUUUAUUGAAAGAAAAAAGUGAAAGUUAAGCUUGAUUCUGCCUGACUCCUUCCCUGAAAAUGCAGGUGAUCUGCUGAUUUCCAUAUAUCAUCAACUCACUCUUCCACUUCUUUGAUGAAUAUCUAUGAGAAGGGCAGAGCAAAAAAAUGAACAGGCAGAUGAAUUCUGAGCUUAUUUUGGUGUGGGGAAUGUGAACAGAGGAGUGGAUGGACAUUUGUAGAUCUGGAGAACUUCCUGGACCCUCUAUAUGAUCUUCUGAUUUAAUUUUUAAAAUAAUUAUAUCAUUUAUGAAACUUGCACAGAAUUAAAAUAAUAAAAGAUUAGAAAAAAUAAAAUAAUAUUUAAUA
rnacentral:lncRNA from 1 species